rnacentral:rRNA from 1 species
GACGAACGUUGGCGGCAUGCCUAAUACAUGCAAGUCGAACGCGACCAGCCGGUGCUUGCACUGGCGAAGUCGAGUGGCGAACGGGUGAGUAACACGUGAGAAACCUACCCUGGAGUGGGGAAUAACUCGAAGAAAUUCGAGCUAAUACCGCAUACCUUCUUACCGUCGAAUGGUGGUUUGAAGAAAGAUUUAUCGCUCUGGGAGGGUCUCGCGGCCUAUCAGCUAGUUGGUGAGGUAACGGCUCACCAAGGCAUCGACGGGUAGCUGGUCUGAGAGGACGAUCAGCCACACUGGAACUGAGACACGGUCCAGACUCCUACGGGAGGCAGCAGUAGGGAUCUUGCGCAAUGGGCGAAAGCCUGACGCAGCAAUGCCGCGUGCGGGACGAAGGCCCUAGGGUCGUAAACCGCUUUCAGUAGGGACGAAAUGACGGUACCUGCAGAGAAGCUCCGGCCAACUACGUGCCAGCAGCCGCGGUAAU